UACGGAGGGGGCUAGCGUUGUUCGGAAUUACUGGGCGUAAAGCGCGCGUAGGCGGACCUGCAAGUCGGGGUGAAAGCCCGAGGCUCAACCUCGGAACUGCCUUCGAUACUGCGGGUCUCGGAGUCCGGGAGAGGUGAGUGGAAUUCCUAGUGUAGAGGUGAAAUUCGUGAGAUAAUUAGGAAGAACACCAGUGGCGGAAAGGCG
rnacentral:rRNA from 1 species